rnacentral:rRNA from 1 species
GAUGAACGCUGGCGGCGUGCCUAAUACAUGCAAGUCGAGCGAACGGACGAGAAGCUUGCUUCUCUGAUGUUAGCGGCGGACGGGUGAGUAACACGUGGAUAACCUACCUAUAAGACUAGGAUAACUUCGGGAAACCGGAGCUAAUACCGGAUGAUAUUUUGAACCGCAUGGUUCAAAAGUGAAAGACGGUCUUGCUGUCACUUAUAGAUGGAUCCGCGCUGCAUUAGCUAGUUGGUAAGGUAACGGCUUACCAAGGCAACGAUGCAUAGACGACCUGAGAGGGUGAUCGGCCACACUGGAACUGAGACACGGUCCAGACUCCUACGGGAGGCAGCAGUAGGGAAUCUUCCGCAAUGGGCGAAAGCCUGACGGAGCAACGCCGCGUGAGUGAUGAAGGUCUUCGGAUCGUAAAACUCUGUUAUUAGGGAAGAACAUAUGUGUAAGUAACUGUGCACAUCUUGACGGUACCUAAUCAGAAAGCCACGGCUAACUACGUG